CUGAGCUGAAGAAGGACCCAGACAUGGUGAAGGACAUCAUUAAUGAAGAAGAGGUGCAGUUUCUCAAGACUCUCAGCAGAGGGCGUCGCAUCCUGGACAGGAAAAUUCAGAGCCUGGGAGACAGCAAGACCAUUCCUGGAGACACUGCUUGGCUCCUCUAUGACACCUAUGGGUUUCCAGUGGAUCUGACUGGACUGAUUGCUGAAGAGAAGGGCCUGGUGGUAGACAUGGAUGGCUUUGAAGAGGAGAGGAAACUGGCCCAGAAAACAGAGUUUACAGUGAAGAAUGCUCAAGUCCGAGGAGGGUAUGUGCUACACAUUGGAACCAUCUACGGUGACCUGAAAGUGGGGGAUCAGGUCUGGCUGUUUAUUGAUGAGCCCCGACGAAGACCCAUCAUGAGCAACCACACAGCUACGCACAUUCUGAACUUCGCCCUGCGCUCAGUGCUUGGGGAAGCUGACCAGAAAGGCUCAUUGGUUGCUCCUGACCGCCUCAGAUUUGACUUUACUGCCAAGGGAGCCAUGUCCA
rnacentral:sRNA from 1 species